CCUACGGGAGGCAGCAGUGGGGGAUAUUGCACAAUGGGGGAAACCCUGAUGCAGCGACGCCGCGUGGGUGAAGAAGUAUUUCGGUAUGUACAGCCCUAUCAGCAGGGAAGAAAGAAGACGGUACCUGACUAAGAAGCCCCGGCUAACUACGUGCCAGCAGCCGCGGUAAUACGUAGGGGGCGAGCGUUAUCCGGAUUCACUGGGUGUAAAGGGAGCGUAGACGGCCGUGCAAGCCAGGAGUGAAAGCCCGGGGCCCAACCCCGGGACUGCUCUUGGAGCUGUGCGGCUGGAGUGCGGGAGGGGCAGGCGGAAGUCCUGGUGUAGCGGUGAAAUGCGUAGAUAUCAGGAGGAACACCGGCGGCGAAGGCGGCCUGCUGGACCGCGACUGACGUUGAGGCUCGAAAGCGUGGGGAGCGAACAGGAUUAGAUACCCCGGUAGUC
rnacentral:rRNA from 1 species